rnacentral:rRNA from 1 species
GACGAACCACACGAACGUUAUUCGGAAUUACUGGGCUUAAAGGGCGCGUAGGCGGCUUUGCAAGUGGCGGGUGAAAUCCCUCGGCUUAACCGAGGAACUGCCUGCCAGACUGUAAGGCUUGAGACCGGGAGAGGUGAGUGGAAUUCCCAGUGUAGCGGUGAAAUGCGUAGAUAUUGGGAGGAACACCAGUGGCGAAGGCGGCUCACUGGACCGGAACUGACGCUGAGGCGCGAAAGCGUGGGGAGCAAACAGG